GGGACACGUGGUAUCCUGUCUGAAUAUGGGGGGACCAUCCUCCAAGGCUAAAUACUCCUGACUGACCGAUAGUGAACCAGUACCGUGAGGGAAAGGCGAAAAGAACCCCGGCGAGGGGAGUGAAAAAGAACCUGAAACCGUGUACGUACAAGCAGUGGGAGCCUCUUAAUGGGGUGACUGCGUACCUUUUGUAUAAUGGGUCAGCGACUUAUAUUCUGUAGCAAGGUUAACCGAAUAGGGGAGCCGAAGGGAAACCGAGUCUUAACUGGGCGUUAAGUUGCAGGGUAUAGACCCGAAACCCGGUGAUCUAGCCAUGGGCAGGUUGAAGGUUGGGUAACACUAACUGGAGGACCGAACCGACUAAUGUUGAAAAAUUAGCGGAUGACUUGUGGCUGGGGGUGAAAGGCCAAUCAAACCGGGAGAUAGCUGGUUCUCCCCGAAAGCUAUUUAGGUAGCGCCUCGUGAAUUCAUCUCCGGGGGUAGAGCACUGUUUCGGCAAGGGGGUCAUCCCGACUUACCAACCCGAUGCAAACUGCGAAUACCGGAGAAUGUUAUCACGGGAGACACACGGCGGGUGCUAACGUCCGUCGUGAAGAGGGAAACAACCCAGACCGCCAGCUAAGGUCCCAAAGUCAUGGUUAAGUGGGAAACGAUGUGGGAAGGCCCAGACAGCCAGGAUGUUGGCUUAGAAGCAGCCAUCAUUUAAAGAAAGCGUAAUAGCUCACUGGUCGAGUCGGCCUGCGCGGAAGAUGUAACGGGGCUAAACCAUGCACCGAAGCUGCGGCAGCGACACUAUGUGUUGUUGGGUAGGGGAGCGUUCUGUAAGCCUGUGAAGGUGUGCUGUGAGGCAUGCUGGAG
rnacentral:rRNA from 1 species